GGAGGAGCUUGGGGGCUGAUCCAAACUGUGUAUGGGAGUGGCAGGGGUCCAUAGAGAGAAUCAAAAACCUAACAAAUCAAGUUAUUAAGUUACUUUUGGAAGGAUAAACAUAUCUUUCAAUAAAGGUCUAGGACUCAGAUAAAACCCAGAGAUGAAGAGGUAAAAUCAAUUGUUGAGAAUAAAUGAAACAUGUAUCGACCCACACACUACAGCCAUCUGUGAUGUCUAAUCCUCAUGGUAAUCACGGUAGGAUGGUAUUUUGAUCCCCCUUUGAUAAGAGAGGGUAUCUAAGUCAGAAAGGGUCAGUGGCUCGCCCAAGUCCACAUGGUAAAUGAAUGACAAAGCCACGCAUCCAUCCAUUCGUCCUGCCUCCAAAUCCUACCCAUGUUUUCCCACAGAAUCUGGACUGCACUGAAACCUGGAAAACAACAGACGCUGUUGGAUCGGGAAAUAUCUGACGGCAAACAGCACCAGGAGAGUACCAGUGAGGGAGAUACUCUCACCAUCGUCUGUUUCAUAGAUGAGGACACUGCCAAGGAUUUGCGUGCAUCACACAGCUCACGGCUGUCAGAGCUGGAAGUGGAGUGCGUUUCCACCUUGAGAAGCACACCAACACCUUUUUGUUUUCUUCUGUCUUUAAACGUAACUCCUUUCCAUGUGUAAAAAUUAAAUCAGGCUGGGUGCGGUGGCUCACGCCUGUAAUCCCAGCUCUUUGGGAGGCUGAGGCGGGUAGAUCAUAAGGUCAAGAGAUCGAGACCAUCCUGGCUAACAUGGUGAAACCCUGUCUCCACUAAAAAUACAAAAAUUAGCUGAGUGUGGUGGUGCGCGCCUGUAGUCCCAGCUACUCAGGAGGCGGAGACUGCAGUGAGCUGAGAUUGCACCAUUGUACUCCAGCAUGGGCAACAAAAGCGAAACUCCCUCUCAAAAAAAAAAAAAAAAAAAAAAUUAAAUCAGGGAACCAAACUGCCUGAAUUAUUUCAUUUUCUUUACUAAGAAAUUUAGAAAACUCUCCAUCUGAAAUACUUCCUUUUAAAAUUUAUUUUAUUUUCAUAAUACAUUUUCCAAUACAAGAAUAGGGAAUUCCCUGUGUUAGCAGGUGGCAGACUCCGGACCCUGGGACCCAUAUCCCAGCUUAAAGGGCCAUUCCUUCUUGCCCUGAAGCACCAUUGCACAGGGAGUAACUGGCACCCGGUGUUAACAUUGGAAACAUUUGGAUGGAAACAGAUUUUUACACUGGUUAUCAUCUGAUGAGGGUUUUAAGGGGAAAGUGUCAACAUAAAUUUGGAAUUUCCUGACUUCUGCGGAUCUGAGUUACAAUCCUGACAAAACUAGAAAGGAAAUCUUUAAAAAAUUUUUAGUGUUUUAUUGUGUGGAAAUGUCCCCAAACAUUUUCAUCCCAUUUUCCCAGAGAAACCUGACAGCUCU
rnacentral:lncRNA from 1 species